rnacentral:rRNA from 1 species
AGUAGAUCGUCGGCAGCGUCAGAUGUGUAUAAGAGACAGGGAGUACGGUCGCAAGGCUGAAACUUAAAGGAAUUGGCGGGGGAGCACUGCAACGGGAGGAGCGUGCGGUUUAAUUGGAUUCAACGCCGGAAAACUCACCAGGGCCGACUGUUAUAUGAAGACCAGCGUAAUGAGCUUGUCGGAUUUUCAGAGAGGUGGUGCAUGGCCGUCGUCAGUUCGUACUGUAAAGCGUUCUGUUAAGUCAGAUAACGAACGAGACCCUCAUCUCUAUUUGCUACCCGUCUCUCCGGAGGCGGCGCACUAUAGGGAGACCGCUGGUGUUAAACCAGAGGAAGGCGAGGGCAACGACAGGUCAGUAUGCCCCGAAUGUCCUGGGCUACACGCGCGCUACAAAGGACGGGACAAUGGGAAGCCAGGCCGAGAGGCCGAGCUACCCCGAAACCCGUUCAUAGUUCGGAUCGUGGGCUGUAACUCGCCCACGUGAAGCUGGAUUCCGUAGUAAUCGUGUUUCAAUAUAGCACGGUGAAUAUGCCCCUGCUCCUUGCACACACCGCCCGUCAAACCAUCUUAGUUGGGGGUGGGUGAGGCUGCGCUUUAUGGCGUAUUCGAGCCUGCCUUCGACAAGGAGGGUUAAGUCGUAACAAGGUAUCUGUAGGGGAACCUGCAGAUG